UUAAAAUUUAUAUGUUAGCUAUGUUGUGCCCCAGGUUAAUUAUGGUUCUAGAUCCGCCACUGGAGACUAACAUCAUCAUUCUCAUGAAAAGAGUCGCAACGACUAUAAAAGUGAUCGCCGUUUAGUCUAGUGAUGCCGACGAUACCAACAUCUCAUGUAAAAGUGGUCGCAACGACACCCUUACUAUUUAUUCUCCGUUUUCUUUAGAGAGGCUUCUCCGUAAAGAAAAAUACAGAAGCUACACGAUCUUGACAAACUCUCAAAUGUUUGAUUUUGCAAGGAAAGAAAAAAAGUAAUAAUGAGAAGAGAGAGAAAGAGAGUGAAAAGAAGAAGCGACGAAGAAGAAGAAAAAAAAAGGAACGUGGAAAGAUGAAACUUUUUUUU
rnacentral:sRNA from 1 species